rnacentral:rRNA from 1 species
GACGAACGCUGGCGGCGUGCUUAACACAUGCAAGUCGAGCGGAAAGGCCCUUCGGGGUACUCGAGCGGCGAACGGGUGAGUAACACGUGAGUAACCUGCCCAGACUUUGGGAUAACCCUCGGAAACGGGGGCUAAUACCGGAUACGACACAGCUUCGCAUGGGGUCUGUGUGGAAAGUUUUUCGGUUUGGGAUGGGCUCGCGGCCUAUCAGCUUGUUGGUGGGGUGAUGGCCUACCAAGGCGACGACGGGUAGCCGGCCUGAGAGGGCGACCGGCCACACUGGGACUGAGACACGGCCCAGACUCCUACGGGAGGCAGCAGUGGGGAAUAUUGCACAAUGGGCGGAAGCCUGAUGCAGCGACGCCGCGUGAGGGAUGACGGCCUUCGGGUUGUAAACCUCUUUCAGCAGGGACGAAGCGUAAGUGACGGUACCUGCAGAAGAAGCGCCGGCCAACUACGUG